UGUUUGCUGUGAUGAAUCACAAGGACGGUAUCUGAGUAGGUUGGCUGUUGAAAAGGCCACCUUCCUUGAUUACUCAUCCUAAACUGAUCAUAUAUUCUGAGCAAGCA
rnacentral:snoRNA from 1 species